GUGUUGUGUGAAAGGAGAGAAGGUUAGCACUUCCCUUGACAAUGAUGGAAGAGGCCCUCAGGCCUGACAACACAUACAGAAAAUAAGCACAUGUAAAGAUGUCCGACAUUAUUAGUCAUUAGG
ensembl:snRNA